rnacentral:misc_RNA from 1 species
AUUUUCCUCAUCAUUUGUGCCAGUGGCCUGACUAGUUGAGCCGGAGAGAAGCUUUGCUCUCAUUCUCUCUGCUAGAGUCACCAUUUCUUUAGCUUUAUUCAUAAGAGCGUUCAAAUCCUGAAAAGCUUCCUGCAAGCUCUUAUCAGUAUUCUCCCAUAUUUCCUGCUCUUUCCUCAAUAUCCCAGCUACCCCAACAACUGGCAUCCUCACCGCCAAUCCUCCGUCAACACCCGACCCAUGACCUGAUCCUAACCCAGAACCCGAAGCCUCCUGCCCAGAUUUUUUCCCAUCUUCCCAA